UGAGGAAUAUUGGUCAAUGGGCGCGAGCCUGAACCAGCCAAGUCGCGUGAAGGAUGAAGGUUCUAUGGAUUGUAAACUUCUUUUAUGGGGGAAUAAAGUGCGGGAUGCGUCCUGUUUUGUAUGUACCUCAUGAAUAAGCAUCGGCUAACUCCGUGCCAGCAGCCGCGGUAAUACGGAGGAUGCGAGCGUUAUCCGGAUUCAUUGGGUUUAAAGGGUGCGUAGGUGGCCUUUUAAGUCAGCGGUGAAAGUUUGUGGCUCAACCCGGUGAUGCCGUUGAAACUGGUGUGCUUGAGUGCGUGCGAGGGAGGCGGAAUGCGUUGUGUAGCGGUGAAAUGCAUAGAUAUGACGCAGAACUCCGAUUGCGAAGGCAGCUUUCCAGCACGCCACUGACGCUGAGGCACGAAAGCGUGGGGAUCGAACAGGAUUAGAUACCCUGGUAGU
rnacentral:rRNA from 1 species